CUCUGAUGGCGAGUGGCGAACGGGUGAGUAAUACAUCGGAACGUGUCCGUUUGUGGGGGACAACCGUCCGAAAGGAUGGCUAAUACCGCAUAAGACCUGAGGGUGAAAGCCGGGGACCGCAAGGCCCGGCGCAGACGGAGCGGCCGAUGAUUGAUUAGCUAGUUGGGGAGGUAAAGGCUCACCAAGGCGACGAUCAAUAGCUGGUCUGAGAGGACGACCAGCCACACUGGAACUGAGACACGGUCCAGACUCCUACGGGAGGCAGCAGUGGGGAAUUUUGGACAAUGGGGGCAACCCUGAUCCAGCCAUGCCGCGUGCGGGAAGAAGGCCUUCGGGUUGUAAACCGCUUUUGUCAGGGACGAAAAGCUCCGGAGUAAUAUGCCGGAGUGCUGACGGUACCUGAAGAAUAAGCACCGGCUGACUACGUGCCAGCAGCCGCGGUAAUACGUAGGGUGCAAGCGUUAAUCGGAAUUACUGGGCGUAAAGCGUGCGCGGGCGGUUGGGUAAGACAGAUGUGAAAUCCCCGGGCUUAACCUGGGAACUGCAUUUGUGACUGUCCGACUGGAGUACGUCAGAGGGGGGUGGAAUUCCACGUGUAGCAGUGAAAUGCGUAGAUAUGUGGAAGAACACCGAUGGCGAAGGC
rnacentral:rRNA from 1 species